UCGAGAAUCUUCGGCAAUGGGCGAAAGCCUGACCGAGCGAUGCCGCGUGAGGGAUGAAUGCCUUCGGGUCGUAAACCUCUGUCACCCGGGACGAAGAAUGUGACGGUACCGGGAGAGGAAGCACCGGCUAACUACGUGCCAGCAGCCGCGGUAAUACGUAGGGUGCGAGCGUUAUUCGGAUUUACUGGGCGUAAAGGGUCCGCAGGGGGUUUGCCAAGUCCGAUGUGAAAUACCCCAGCUCAACUGUGGAACGGCAUUGGAUACUGGCGAACGUGAGUGCACGAGGGGUGAGCGGAAUUCCUGGUGUAGCGGUGGAAUGCGUAGAUAUCAGGAAGAACACCGAUGGCGAAGGCGGCUCACUGGCGUGCAACUGACCCUCAGGGACGAAAGCGUGGGGAGCAAACA
rnacentral:rRNA from 1 species